AUUGAACGCUGGCGGCAUGCUUUACACAUGCAAGUCGAACGGUAACAGGCCUUCGGGUGCUGACGAGUGGCGAACGGGUGAGUAAUGCAUCGGAACGUACCCAGAGGUGGGGGAUAACGCAGCGAAAGCUGUGCUAAUACUGCAUGUGAUCUGAGGAUGACAGCGGGGGACCGAGCAGCAAUGUUUGGCCUCGCGCCUUUGGAGCGGCCGAUGUCGGAUUAGCUAGUUGGUGGGGUAAAGGCCUACCAAGGCGACGAUCCGUAGCUGGUCUGAGAGGACGACCAGCCACACUGGGACUGAGACACGGCCCAGACUCCUACGGGAGGCAGCAGUGGGGAAUUUUGGACAAUGGGCGCAAGCCUGAUCCAGCAAUGCCGCGUGCGGGAAGAAGGCCUUCGGGUUGUAAACCGCUUUUGGCAGGAACGAAACGGUGUCCGCUAAUACCGGGCGCUAAUGACGGUACCUGCAGAAUAAGCACCGGCUAACUACGUG
rnacentral:rRNA from 1 species